GCCAUCUUGGAAACUUUCAAAACAAACAAGCUCAGAUUCACAGUUAUAGUCUUUCCUGGUCACUCGUCUCGUCCAGUACUCUAAUACUACGACUCACAGUUCCUCUACAGACGUAUUAAUCCUCCAAGCACUAGUUCAUAGACGUCACCCUCGUUGCAGUCUACAGCAGCUGUUGUCACAUGUUUCUGAUCAGUGACCAAAGACCUUAGCUUGGUGUGGCCUCCCUCGACGUCUCGGUAAUCUCAGCCACCAUAAGUGUGAGUUGAGCUUUAUUUUGUUAUCUAUAUUAGCGUGACACACCCACACCGUCAUCAGCUCCUGUCAGCCGUCAGCCACACGCCUCACUGACACUCUAACCACGUCAGGAGUAGAAGGACCAUGGUGAAGUGCAGGCGUUUGUGUGGCGCGGUGGGCGCAGUGGUGGGCGUACUUGGGGGCGUGAUUGGCAUACUUCUCCUUGUAGCAAUCAUCAGAGCUGCCACCCUUGAGGAACCCGACUACCAAGAUUGGGGAAUGGCCACAGGAGUGAAGGAGGAGCUGCCGGAGUCCUACUUGGCCACACUACCACAGCUCAUGACACAGCGCUCAGCAUACCCACAGUGUCCACAGAUGUUGGCAUGUAUGACACACACCAACUACUUCGCUUCCAUGAGUUCCUUCGGGAGAGUUUCCCACACGUGUUUAAUUGCAGUUACAUAGAGACUGAAGUUAUCAACACAUACAGCCUUCUCUUCACGGUAACUGGAAGUACACCUGAGCUGCAGCCUUACCUGUUGAUGGGUCAUAUGGACGUGGUACCUGCUGACCCCACCCAGUGGACCCAUGACCCCUGGGCUGGUCUUAUUUUACCCGACACUGUAACUGGGGAAGACUACAUCUGGGGUAGAGGAGCUAUUGAUAAUAAAAUUGGAGUUAUGGGCAUCAUCAUGGCGCUCAACUACCUGGCCAAGACGGACUUCCAGCCAACCCGUUCCUUCUACGUUGCCUUUGGUCAUGAUGAAGAGGUCCGAGGGGCUGACGGUGCAGGUCACAUCUCCCAGGUACUACAGGAGAGGGGCGUCACCUUAGACUUCCUGCUUGACGAAGGAACACCUGUGAUAUCUGGUCUUAUGCCUGGGUUUACUGUUCCUACUGCAUUAAUCAGCGUGACAGAGAAGGGCUACAUGACCUUACAAUUACAAGUAGAGGGUGAAGGAGGUCACUCAUCUAUGCCACCACAAGAUCCGGCUGUCUCUCGUCUAGUUGCAGCCCUCAAUAACUUAGCCCUUAACCCUCAGCCCUCACUGUUUGGAAAGGGCCCUGAGGGUGACACUUUCACCUACUUAGCCACAAAGGCAUCAUGGCCCUACAAACUUUUCUACUCAAAUCUAUGGCUGUUUACACCUCUGUUGGAAAUGGUCAUGUCGAGGUCACGUGAGUCAAACGCCCUGCUGCGGACUACCACCUCCAUCACUAUCGUCCGUGCUGGCGUCAAGGAGAACGUAGUGCCCUCCUCGGCCAGCGCCAUCAUCAACCAUCGCGUCCAUCCUGCCCAGUCUGUCGAAGACGUCAUCCAGCACGACCUUGCGGCCAUCAAUGACCCCACAGUGAAGCUGACAGUGAAGCAACAGAUGGCCGCUUACCCAGUCUCCCCCUACGGCCCGGAUGUACCAGGGUGGCGCCUCCUCACCUCCGCUAUACACCAUCACUUCCCGGGCGCUGUUGUUGCUCCAGCGGUUCUCAUGGCCAACACGGAUACCAAGUAUUACCUUAACAUGACGAACAACGUGUAUAGAUUCAUCCCCACCAUCACUGGAAAAAGGGAUCUGGCAACUAUACACGGACAUAAUGAACGAAUUAGUGUGGCUGCUGUAGGUGUGGCCGCUGAAUUCUACUACCACCUCAUCUUGGCCGCUAAUAGGGAGGUCAAACCACGCCACACCUCACCAGGUCACCGUGCUGGGGAAUUGUGAUCCGUUGACCUGACCUCACUUAGCCACCAAGCUGCUGCCGUCUCUCGUAUGGCAGAGUAAAAGCCGGAGACUUCCAUCUAACCACCCGGCCGCCCACACUACCACCCGGCCGCCCACACUACCACCCGGCCGCCCGUACACCCAGCUGGCCACCCACCCUCCAACCCCAAAAGCCAACAUAUCUUAUCACCGCCUACACUCAACCCCGGAAGCACGCCCACACUCAACGCCGGACGCACGCCCACACUCAACGCCGGAAGCACGCCCACACUCAACGCCGGAUGCACGCCCACACUCAACGCCGGAAGCACGCCCACACUCAACGCCGGAUGCACGCCCACACUCAACGCCGGACGCACCUUUAACGCCUGGGUCGACGGAGUUAUAUUUUAAUGGCGUAUCGAAUAUUUUAUUAGGUUGAAUAUAUAAAAGAUGGUCUGUUAUUUUAUGUUGGUUUAGCACUUUAUUAUGUCUUAUUUUGGUUAUUAUUAUUAUUGUUGUUAUUAUUAUUAUUAGUAUAAUUAUUAUAUAUCUCUUUGCUUGUAUUACACCACCGCCCACAUCACCGCCCACACUGCCCACACCCCCACAUCAUCGCCCACAUUUAACCUAACCUAACCUUAAACAUUAGUAAGAGAAAUGGGGGAAUAUUGUCCUACUUAGCUCUUUAACUGAGAUUUGUCCAGUGGGGUUUUGUCCGAGGGAGUAUUUGUCUGAGGGUAUUUUGUCCUACACUCAUCCCUGGGGGGGGGAUGAUGAGGUUGAUCCAUUCACUGUGUGUGUGUGUGUGUGUGUGUGUGUGUGUGUUAAUACAAUAUUAUCCCAUAUGUAUAAUUCUUGUUGAAUAAAUUAAUUUGGUGUUA